CUAACGAGGAACGAUCGAGGGGCAAGUCUGGUGCCAGCAGCCGCGGUAAUUCCAGCUCCAAUAGCGUACGUUAAAGUUGCUGCAGUUAAAAAGCUCGUAGUUGAACGUUCGGGUUCCGCGGACGGGGCCGCCCCGCGAGGGACGGCGCCGCCCCGGGGCUCGUGAUAUCUUAUCUCGCCGCCCGUCGCGAGGCGGACGGAGGGAUGGAUGAGGUUACCUGGAAAAAAUCGGGGCGAUCUAGGCGGGCGAACCUCGCCAACGAACGAUCGGACAUGGGAUAACGGAAGAGGGCGUCGGCUCGACUUCGUCGGUUCCUCGGGCCGAGGCACGUACGGUGAAUAGGGACGGUCGGGGCCGCCCGUACCGGGUCGUGAGAGGUGAAAUUCUAGGAUCGACCCGAGACGAACUGCCGCGAAAGCAUUCGGCAAGGACGCUUUCAUUAAUCAAGAACGAAAGUCGGGGGGAUCGAAGACGAUCAGAUACCGUCGUAGUCCCGACCGUAAACGAUGC
rnacentral:rRNA from 1 species